rfam:Virgibacillus soli strain PL205 scaffold000021, whole genome shotgun sequence.
CAAAAAGAUAGAGGCGCAAAUCUUUAAGAGUAAGGGCUUGGAGAAGUACGGGCUUCCUUGAAGGGUUCUGAAAGGGGAGAUUUGCCGAAGUGGAGAAAUGACCGUCAUUUUUUCUGCUGGUCCUACGUUUAAGAAAUGUAGGAUUGUCAAAAUGGUAAAAGCCAUUUUGGAGAGCUAUCCCAUGU